rnacentral:snRNA from 1 species
AUACUCUGGUUUCUCUUCAGAGCAUAUACAUCUUUUGCCUUUUACUGAAGAUUUCUGUGGAGAGGAACAACUCUGAGUCUCAAACCAAUUUUUUGAGGUCUUGUUUUGGCAAGGCU